rnacentral:rRNA from 1 species
GUCGUCAGCUCGUGUUGUGAAAUGUUGGGUUAAGUCCCGCAACGAGCGCAACCCUUAUCCUUUGUUGCCAGCGGUUCGGCCGGGAACUCAAAGGAGACUGCCAGUGAUAAACUGGAGGAAGGUGGGGAUGACGUCAAGUCAUCAUGGCCCUUACGAGUAGGGCUACACACGUGCUACAAUGGCAUAUACAAAGAGAAGCGACCUCGCGAGAGCAAGCGGACCUCAUAAAGUAUGUCGUAGUCCGGAUUGGAGUCUGCAACUCGACUCCAUGAAGUCGGAAUCGCUAGUAAUCGUGGAUCAGAAUGCCACGGUGAAUACGUUCCCGGGCCUUGUACACACCGCCCGUCACACCAUGGGAGUGGGUUGCAAAAGAAGUAGGUAGCUUAACCUUCGGGAGGGCGCUUACCACUUUGUGAUUCAUGACUGGGGUGAAGUCGUAACAAGGUAACCGUAGGGGAACCUGCGGUUGGAUCACCUCCUUA